UACGUAGGGGGCUAGCGUUGUCCGGAAUCAUUGGGCGUAAAGAGCGUGUAGGCGGUCCGGUAAGUCCGUUGUGAAAGUCGGGGGCUCAACCCUCGAAUGCCGGUGGAUACUGUCGGGCUAGAGUGCGGAAGAGGCGAGUGGAAUUCCUGGUGUAGCGGUGAAAUGCGCAGAUAUCAGGAGGAACACCUAUUGCGAAGGCAGCUCGCUGGGACGUAACUGACGCUGAGACGCGAAAGCGUGGGGAGCGAACAGG
rnacentral:rRNA from 1 species